UUUUUUUUUUUUUUUUUUUUUUUUUUUUUUUCCA
rnacentral:ribozyme from 1 species